GUGCGGCGGUAUGAGAACCACUUGAAUCGCUGUCAUCCCUGCACCGCAGCCUUUUCACCCUGUGGACGAUUCAUUGCUUCUGGCUCUGAAGACAACUGUGCCUAUGUGUAUGACAUCCGCAGCAGCAGCUACCUCCACAAGCUCGAGAGACACUCUGACACCAUCCUCAACGUGACCUUUAACCCUGCUACACCUGAGCUGCUGACCGGGACUCUGGACGGGAGGCUGAGUCUGUUCCGCCCUGGCAACGCCGCCAUCAGGGUCGCCCUGUCAUGACAACAGGGGCUGGUUCCCAUUACGACAGGCAAGCGCAUUCAAACAUUUGWAAGAAAGCAAAUGAUAUAUGAACCCAGGUCUGGACCUGACGAUGACGCUUGUGUUAUUUACACCAUACUGUAAUGGGGACCAACGGGCCUCGUUAGCUAGAGAGCUUCCUUUUAUCCCAUUGGCUGUGAUCUCACAGUGAGGCUUUACAGAGGGAUGGAUGCCAGGGCCUGGAGAGUUACAGCAGCAUUACUGAGACCCAGGGGCCACAGUGACAUCACCAUCUGACUGCACCGCUCAGCAGCCUGCGAGUCUGACACGCAGACGUUACUACAUACUAACACACCCAUCCACAUGUACAGAUGUAUUUACAUUAGAAUGGAGACACACACAGACACAUACACACACACACACACACACACACACACACACACACACAGACCUAGACAGAAAGAAAAGACUGGUAUGUUCAGUACAGUACCAUAUAUCACCUAUAUCCCAACAGUACAGUAGGUGAAAUUUGAAUAUUCAAGAUUAAACUGAUUUGAAUGCAUACAGAAUGCUUAACUGUUUUUGUGCUUCUUACUGUCCUUCUCUGUUCCACACUAGCAGUAGCUGUACGAUGAUUUCUUCCAUAGUUCUGGCAAUUAGGCCUAUUGCUCAGAUAACAUAUUUCUCCCUCCCUCUCCCUGUUGCUGAUGGUUUGAACAUAKGCUUAGUGUAUAAAACGUUAGGAAUGUCUUUCCAUGACAUAGACUUACCAGGUGAAUCCAGGUGAAAGAUAUGAUCCCUUAUCGAUGUCACUUGC